rnacentral:rRNA from 1 species
UACAGAGGGGGCAAGCGUUGUUCGGAAUUACUGGGCGUAAAGGGCGCGUAGGCGGCCUUCUAAGUCGAACGUGAAAUCCCCGGGCUCAACCCGGGAACUGCGUCCGAUACUGGAAGGCUUGAAUCCGGGAGAGGGAUGCGGAAUUCCAGGUGUAGCGGUGAAAUGCGUAGAUAUCUGGAGGAACACCGGUGGCGAAGGCGGCGAGUCCUGGACCGGCAUUGACGCUGAGGCGCGAAAGCCAGGGGAGCAAAGCGGGAU